rnacentral:lncRNA from 1 species
CGGCGUCUCAAAAGUUACGAUAAAAUGGUCAAAAUACUCUUAUAAUAGUUUACCAAAAAACUUCUAUUAAAUACACAUAUUCUUUGACUCAUAUAUAACAAACAUACCGUAUUGGUUGACCAUGGUAUUCUAAUAUAGCUUCAAAAACGUUUAACUUCAAAAUUAGCUUCAUCACAUUCGAUUCACAAAAAUAAGUACUCUCUCGAUUAGGGGACCGAAA